rnacentral:lncRNA from 1 species
AUUAUUAAGUCUCUUUAUCAAAUGCAUCACAGAAUCAGCCAACUACACAUCCUCUCUGACUCAUAGUUUUCAUAUUUGUAUAGGAGGGAUAGUGGCAUUGCUUAUAACAGAAUGAAAAGUGUCUAUUAAGCCGAGAUCUCUUAUCAUGUCUGAACUGUGAGUUUGAUGUUGCCUUUUCUUGGACGACUUAAGAGAAUGAAGAAGCACAUGCACUUCUGCCUGAGGCUUCCCAUGGCUGGGGCUGCUGACCUUCUGCAAGGAUGCUCCUGGAUCAAAUGUUCACAAACAUCAGAUACUUCGACUUGUGAUCUGUAAGGGCAGCUUUUCCUAACCAAAGGAUCUGAACUGUCAUUGCGUCAGAGUCCAUCAAGGCAGUCAGGAGACCUUAGGAAUUAUUGCAGUCAGAAAUCAAAGCAAAUUUUGCUCUAACUUCUAGGAUAUCUUUACCUGAG